rnacentral:rRNA from 1 species
AUGAGCGGCCUGUCUUGUACACACCGGUCUGGACUGAUCUCAGAAGCAUAGCAGCGUUGGGUCUGGUUAAUCCUUGAAUGGGAGACCGCCUGGGACCACCGGCCGCUGUGAUU